rnacentral:sRNA from 1 species
UGUGCGCUAGGGAUUGCAGCGGCAUCCUUUUUAAAACUUUAUAAAACAAAAGCUAUUGCAAACAAAAAGCUAACCACUUGCUAUGUUGCUCGCUCUUAACCAAAACUUUUUAAAAAGAUACAGCGAAAAGCCCGACCGCCU